GCUUAACACAUGCAAGUCGAGGGGCAGCAUUUCAGUUUGCUUGCAAACUGGAGAUGGCGACCGGCGCACGGGUGAGUAACACGUAUCCAACCUGCCGAUAACUCGGGGAUAGCCUUUCGAAAGAAAGAUUAAUACCCGAUGGUAUAAUCAGACCGCAUGGUCUUGUUAUUAAAGAAUUUCGGUUAUCGAUGGGGAUGCGUUCCAUUAGGCAGUUGGUGAGGUAACGGCUCACCAAACCUUCGAUGGAUAGGGGUUCUGAGAGGAAGGUCCCCCACAUUGGAACUGAGACACGGUCCAAACUCCUACGGGAGGCAGCAGUGAGGAAUAUUGGUCAAUGGGCGCAGGCCUGAACCAGCCAAGUAGCGUGAAGGAUGACUGCCCUAUGGGUUGUAAACUUCUUUUAUAUGGGAAUAAAGUUUUCCACGUGUGGAAUUUUGUAUGUACCAUAUGAAUAAGGAUCGGCUAACUCCGUGCCAGCAGCCGCGGUAAUACGGAGGAUCCGAGCGUUAUCCGGAUUUAUUGGGUUUAAAGGGAGCGUAGGUGGACAGUUAAGUCAGUUGUGAAAGUUUGCGGCUCAACCGUAAAAUUGCAGUUGAUACUGGCUGUCUUGAGUACAGUAGAGGUGGGCGGAAUUCGUGGUGUAGCGGUGAAAUGCCUAGAUAUCACGAAGAACUCCGAUUGCGAAGGCAGCUCACUGGACUGCAACUGACACUGAUGCUCGAAAGUGUGGGUAUCAAACAGGAUUAGAUACCCUGGUAGUCCACACAGUAAACGAUGAAUACUCGCUGUUUGCGAUAUACAGUAAGCGGCCAAGCGAAAGCAUUAAGUAUUCCACCUGGGGAGUACGCCGGCAACGGUGAAACUCAAAGGAAUUGACGGGGGCCCGCACAAGCGGAGGAACAUGUGGUUUAAUUCGAUGAUACGCGAGGAACCUUACCCGGGCUUAAAUUGCAUUUGAAUAUAUUGGAAACAGUAUAGCCGUAAGGCAAAUGUGAAGGUGCUGCAUGGUUGUCGUCAGCUCGUGCCGUGAGGUGUCGGCUUAAGUGCCAUAACGAGCGCAACCCUUAUCUUUAGUUACUAACAGGUCAUGCUGAGGACUCUAGAGAGACUGCCGUCGUAAGAUGUGAGGAAGGUGGGGAUGACGUCAAAUCAGCACGGCCCUUACGUCCGGGGCUACACACGUGUUACAAUGGGGGGUACAGAAGGCAGCUACCUGGUGACAGGAUGCUAAUCCCAAAAGCCUCUCUCAGUUCGGAUCGAAGUCUGCAACCCGACUUCGUGAAGCUGGAUUCGCUAGUAAUCGCGCAUCAGCCAUGGCGCGGUGAAUACGUUCCCGGGCCUUGUACACACCGCCCGUCAAGCCAUGAAAGCCGGGGGUACCUGAAGUACGUAACCGCAAGGAGCGUCCUAGGGUAAAACUGGUAAUUGGGGC
rnacentral:rRNA from 1 species